rnacentral:lncRNA from 1 species
AUCUUCCUCGGGAUCCAGAUCCGUUUUCCUCUUCGUGUUCAUCACCACACCAACCCGAGCCAGCCACCUCUCCUUCCACUCUGCCUCUCCAUCGGGAUCCACCUACAACACCCGAGCUCCUCUCAUGCUCCUCCCAUGGCGCCCUCGUUCCCGAGCGGAUCGAGCCAGCCGUCCCCGCCGGCGCUGAGCAGCAUCAGCUCGCGCCAGCUCCGGCGAGCCCUGCCGUCGGUGACCCCCGCAUGAACUCUCUCCUUCCUCCCCUGCCUUCUUUUCUCCCGUCGCCCUGCCUCUGUCUCUCUCACUCUGUUCUGGACCAGGGAACCGCCGUCGCUCGAAGCUUCCUCGACCCUGUCGCCGACCAGAUCCGCGGCUGCCCUGCGCCGCCUGGCCUUCCCCGCCUGGACCUCGUCAGCCAGCAGCCCGCCAGGCCAGGCCAGUCUGCUCCGUCCGGCUACCUCCUGUCGUCCCCGUCGCCAUUGGACUGCGCCGCCGCACCGGAUCUCCUUCCUCGCCGGCCUUCCCUGCAGCCGCUGCCGCGCCGUUGACCCCGCCCUCGCCGCGCCCCUGUUUCCCCUGCUUCGAACGGCAUCAACGACGACGAAGCCGUCCUCCUGCGUUGACCGCGCCCUGCCUCGCCUCGUUGUGCCUGCGUGGCCGCAGCCAGCGCCAGGCCCAGCCAAAGCCGGCCCCUCUUGGGCCUCCUCCACCAAACGGGCUAAGCCCAGGGUGAGCAUCAGAUCCAGCGCCCCCCCUGUGCUCUAUAGGCCGUGCCAGAUUCGGCCCAUGCCGAGUUUUUUUCCCGUUCUGUGAAUUUCUCCAAUUAUCCAGAGAGUGCUGUUUUACAGAAUUGCAGAAAACCCCUUAGCCUUCAUGCAUUUAAUAUCUCACAAACGGUGCAUCAUAUGUAAAAACUUUAAAUAUGAAACUUGCUUAGAAUUCCAUCUAGUUUAAUAAUUUGCCACUUUCAUCCAUGUCUAAAAUGAUUAAACUUGCUGUUUGCAUUGAUUUGCUUAAAUGCCAUGUUAAAAUGAUUUAAUUCAUAACUAAAUGACCGUAGCUCGGUUUCUAAUAAACUUUAUAUGUAAAUGGGGUAGAAUUUUGCCUAGUUUAACAUGGUGGCUUUACUUAGCAUGUUUAAUAACUCUAAAAUUGUGUUUAGGUCAGAUCAUCACCAAAUCUAAAAUAUGUAUAUGGGGUUUUACCGGAAUUGUUGUUCGUUGUUUCCGGCCUCAUUUAAACUUGCCUAGAUAGGUAGUAUUCAUUUGCUUCACCCCUUGCCAUGUUUAAUAACAUUUAAUAUUGUUGGGUACAUAAACGAGAUCGAACUAAAUAACUUGUCGUGGUGUUUCGUCAAUAUGCAACUCGUUGCAUAUUGAGCUCCACUUAAUUUGUAGGAUUGCUUGUGCAUUUUUCCCAUGACAUGCUUCAUUAAACCGGACAUACAUCAUACUCGCUUGUGCAUCAUGCCAUGUUUGUGCUUGUUGGUUUACCAUGUUGUUUGUUUGUUUCCGGGUUGCUUCUCUCGUUAGCUUCGGUUUCGUUCCGGAGUUGUGAGGAUUCGUUCGACUCCGUCCGUUUGUCUUCUUCAUGGACUCGUUCUUCUUCCUUGCGGGAUUUCAGGCAAGAUGACCAUACCCUCGAAAUCACUUCUAUCUUUGCUUGCUAGUUGCUUGCUCUUUUGCUAUGCCUAUGCUAUGAUACCUACCACUUGCUUAUCAUGCCUCCCAUAUUGUUAAACCAAGCCUCUAACCCACCUUGUCCUAGCAAACCAUUGUUUGGCUAUGUUACCGCUUUGCUCAGCCCCUCUUAUAGCGUUGUUAGUUGCAGGUGAAGAUGAAGUUUGUUCCUUGUUGGAAUAUGGAGAUGUUGUUCCUUGUUGGAACAUGUUUAUUGGUUGGGAUAUCACAAUAUCUCUUAUAUUAUUAAUGCAUCUAUAUACUUGGUAAAGGGUGGAAGGCUCGGCCUUAUGCCUGGUGUUUUGUUCCACUCUUGCCGCCCUAGUUUCCGUCAUAUCGGUGUUAUGUUCCCGGAUUUUGCGUCCCUAACGCGGUCGGGUGAUUUAUGGGACCCCCUUGACAGUUCGCUUUGAAUAAGACUCCUCCAGCAAGGCCCAACAUUGGUUUUACUAUUUGCCUCACUACCACCUACUUUUCCCUUGGGAGUCGCUCUCUCGAGGGUCAUCUUUGUUUAGCCCCCCGGGCCAAUGCUUGUCUAAGUGUUGGUCCAAACCAGAGCCACUUGUGGUGCCGCCCCUAGGCAACUUGGGGUAUCGUCGGUUGCCGUACGUAGUGUUCAUCCGGUGUGCCCUGAGACCGAGAUAUGUGCAGCUCCUAUCAAGAUUUAUCGGCACAUCCGGGCGGCUUUGCUGGACUUGUUUUAUUACUGUCGAAAUGUCUUGUAGCCGGGAUUCCGAGACUGAUCGGGUCUUCCCGAGAAGAAGGAAUAUCCUUCGUUGAUCGCGAGAGCUUAUCAUGGGCUAAGUUGGGAUACCCCUGCAGGGUAUUAUCUUUCGAAAGCCGUGCCCGUGGUUAUGUGGCAGAUGGGAAUUUGUUAAUGUCCGGUUGUAGGAAACCCGAAGUUGAUCUUAAUUAAAAUACACCAACUGCGUGUGUAACCGUGAUGGUCUCUUCUCGUCGGAGUCCGGGAAGUGAACACGGUGUUGGAGUUAUGCCUGACGUAGGUUGUUCUAGGAUCACUUCUUGAUCAUAGUUGUUCGACCGUGCUUUUGCCUUCUCUUCUCGCUCUCUUUUGCGUAUGUUAGCCACCAUAUAUGCUAGUCGCUUGCUGCAGCUCCACCUCACUACCCUGUCCUACCUUUAAGCUUAAAUAGUCUUGAUCUCGCGGGUGUGAGAUUGCUGAGUCCUCGUGACUCAUAGAUACUUCCAAAACCAGUUUGCAGGUGCCGAUGAAACCGUGCAGGUGACGCAUCCGAGCCCAAGGAGGAGCUCGAUGAAGAUCUCGUUCUUUGUGUUAUUUCGUUUCAGUUGAUCAGUAGUGGAGCCCAGUUGGGACGAUCGGGGAUCUGUGUAGCAUUUGGGGUAGUCUUCUUUUAUUUUGGUUCCGUAGUCGGACCUUGAUUGUAUCUGGUUGUUGUAAUGCUUUAUUCAUGUAUUGUGUGAAGUGGUGAUUGUAAGCCAACUAUGUAUCUAUUUUCCCUUAUGUAUUACAUGGGUUGUGUGAAGAUUACCUCACUUGCGACAUUGCUUUCAAUGCGGUUAUGCCUCUAAGUCAUGCUUCGACACGUGGGAGAUAUAGCCGCAUCGAGGGCGUUACAGCAAAGAAAGCUAUCAAGUCCCAAGCAAUAGAGGAUUUCGUCGCCGAGUGGAUUGAAC